GCUUUUGGUUCAGUGGUAGAAUGCUCGCCUGGCACGCAGGCGCCCCGGGUUCGAUUCCAGGCCGAUGCA
rnacentral:tRNA from 1 species